CAGCAGCCGCGGUAAUACGUAGGGCGCAAGCGUUAUCCGGAAUUAUUGGGCGUAAAGAGCUCGUAGGCGGUUUGUCGCGUCUGCCGUGAAAGUCCGGGGCUCAACCCCGGAUCUGCGGUGGGUACGGGCAGACUAGAGUGAUGUAGGGGAGACUGGAAUUCCUGGUGUAGCGGUGAAAUGCGCAGAUAUCAGGAGGAACACCGAUGGCGAAGGCAGGUCUCUGGGCAUUAACUGACGCUGAGGCACGAAAGCGUGGGGAGCAAACAGGAUUAGAUACCCCUGUAGUCCCUGUCUCUUAUAC
rnacentral:rRNA from 1 species